UUGCUUUGCAUAUGAUAUCUUGCAGUAAUUUAGUAAUACCUUUCGAACACAUGAUUUUCAGUCAUUCAUGAGUUCGUCAGGUAUUAUCUAGUUAUUGUAAACAUUCAACUCGCUGGCGGA
rnacentral:pre_miRNA from 1 species